UGCUUAGCCCUAAACAUAGACAAUACUAACACAAUAUUGUCCGCCAGAGAACUACAAGUGAAAAACUGGAAACUCUAAGGACUUGGCGGUACCCCACAUCAGCCUAGAGGAGCCUGUCCUAUAAUCGAUAAUCCACGCUGUACCUUACCAUUUCUAGAAACUCAGCCUAUAUACCGCCGUCGAAAGCUUACCCUAUGAAAGAAACAAAGUAAGCAAAAUAGUUAAUAACUAAAACGUCAGGUCAAGGUGUAGCACAUGAAAUGGAAGAGAUGGGCUACAUUUUCUACUUCAGAAAAUACGAACAGCACAAUGAAAUCUAUGCUCAAAGGCGGAUUUAGUAGUAAGGUAAAAAAGACAUUUUACCUUAAACCCGCUCUGGGGCGCGCACACACCGCCCGUCAC
rnacentral:rRNA from 1 species